rnacentral:rRNA from 1 species
AUUGAACGCUGUCGGCAUGCUUUACACAUGCAAGUCGAACGGUAACAGGUCUUCGGAUGCUGACGAGUGACGAACGGGUGAGAAUGCAUCGGCACGUGCACAGUCGUGGGGGAUAACGUAGCGAAAGCUGUGCUAUUACUGCAUACGAUCUAUGGAUGAAAGCGGGGGACCGUAAGGCCUCGCGCGCUUGGCGCGGCCGAUGUCAGAUUAGCUAGCUGUUGGGGUAAAGGACCACCAAGGGGACGAUCUGUAGCUGGGCUGCGAGGACGACCAGCCACACUUGGACUGAGACACGGCCCAGACUCCUACGGAGGGCAGCAGUGGGGAAUUGUGGACAAUGUGCGCAAGCCUUAUCCAGCAACGCCGCGUGCAGGAAGAAGGCCUUCGGGUUGUAAACUGCUUUAGUACGGAACGAAACGGUCUGGGUUAAUACCCUGGGCUAAUGACGAUACCGUAAGAAUAAGCACCGGCUAACUACGUGCCAGCAGCCGCCGUAA